rnacentral:rRNA from 1 species
GAUGAACGCUGGCGGCGUGCCUAAUACAUGCAAGUCGAGCGAACAGACGAGGAGCUUGCUCCUCUGACGUUAGCGGCGGACGGGUGAGUAACACGUGGAUAACCUGCCUAUAAGACUGGGAUAACUUCGGGAAACCGGAGCUAAUACCGGAUAAUAUAUUGAACCGCAUGGUUCAAUAGUGAAAGACGGUUUUGCUGUCACUUAUAGAUGGAUCCGCGCCGCAUUAGCUAGUUGGUAAGGUAACGGCUUACCAAGGCAACGAUGCGUAGCCGACCUGAGAGGGUGAUCGGCCACACUGGAACGGAGACACGGUCCAGACUCCUACGGGAGGCAGCAGUAGGGAAUCUUCCGCAAUGGGCGAAAGCCUGACGGAGCAACGCCGCGUGAGUGAUGAAGGUCUUCGGAUCGUAAAACUCUGUUAUUAGGGAAGAACAAAUGUGUAAGUAACUAUGCACGUCUUGACGGUACCUAAUCAGAAAGCCACGGCUAACUACGUG